GUCAACUGUGAUGAAUCUCAAUGCAGCUACAAAUGCAGCAACUGCUAUGCAACUAAAGAAAAUAAUAUUGAGCCAAUGCCAACUCUUCUUUAAAAAUGACAACUUUUUUCUCUUAGCAACAAUGUACAUGUGAUUUGGAAGUAUAAAUGUGAGUGGAAAUGUACUGAUAGCCCCAGCAAGGUUCAUGAAGUCUCCCAAAAAAGGCAAAAGAGCAGACAAGAAAGCUGUAAUGGCUAUAUAACCACCUCUAACAAUGAUUCUGAAGGCCAAGUUUUUACAAGCCAGUGCACUUCCUGUAA
rnacentral:misc_RNA from 1 species